AGUAAAUGUGAGAAGACCUUGAUUACACCGUCCGAAUCCUUCUCUACUCGAUCAUCUUCCUCCUAAGUGUUUUCGGCAAUACGAUGGUUAUUUUGGUGCUGAUUCUCAACAAGAGAUUGCGGACAGUCACCAACUCCUUCCUGCUCUCACUGGCCCUGAGUGACCUGAUGGUGGCUGUUUUCUGUAUGCCAUUCACUCUCAUCCCCAACCUGCUGGGAGACUUCAUCUUUGGGCAGGCCAUGUGUAAGAUCACCGCGUAUUU